UGUCCUUAAUUCUUCCUGCAAACCCCCAAAUCAGUGGUGUAGCUGGGCACCAAACUGGGCAUGUGUACCAGAUGCUGGGUGUAAAUCACCCACUUUGCUGUGGGAACUUUACAGAGGUAGUGAAGCUGACUAAACAUUUAUCCCAGUUUUAAACAGUGACUGGAGCAUCUAGAGGAGCCAAAGUUAUAGGAAAAAUGACCUAUAUAAUGAGGGAUAUGCUAAGUCCUAAUGGCUUUGCCAUGUCUGGAGGCGCAUCCAUGUUCACUCUACAGGAACUAGGGACCUGUCAUUUAUAUGAAGAUCAAUGCGCCUAAGAGGUUCUUUGAGCUUGCUGUAUGGAUAGGCAUGUAAAAACAUAAGCUCUCUAAAUGCAAAGUAAGGAAACGCAAAAACCAUUGAACAUUGGUUAUUUAUUAUACACUAAUA